UACAGAGGGGGCAAGCGUUGUUCGGAAUUACUGGGCGUAAAGGGCUCGUAGGCGGUUUGUCGCGUCGGGAGUGAAAUCCACUGGCUUAACUGGUGGCUUGCUUUCGAUACGGGCAGACUGGAGGUAUGCAGGGGAGAACGGAAUUCCUGGUGUAGCGGUGAAAUGCGUAGAUAUCAGGAGGAACACCGGUGGUGUAGACGGCUUUCUGGACCGUAACUGACGCUGAAACACGAAAGCGUGGGUAGCAAACAGG
rnacentral:rRNA from 1 species